rnacentral:misc_RNA from 1 species
UUUAUCUAGUUCAUAUAAAUUCCUAUAUAUAUAUAUAUAUAUUCCUUCCUUAACUUGGGCUCUUGUAGAAUUCCUCAGAAAAUUACAAUACACAAGAUUAUACCACGAACACUGACAAGAUUUCUAAAGCAUGUCCAAGCAGAUGCAAUCACCUGGAUGCAUAUUCAAUAAAACACAUUUUAUAUUGGUUUAUAGAAGAAAUAAAUUCAGUAUAGAGAAGCACAUCAGCUCACAUCCUUGAUGCCUAAUUCUAGAAACAGGUUGUGUCAAGAGUACACACCCUACAAGUUCCAUAUCUAUACAAGGAAUUCUAAAGCUCACACCCUACAAGUUCAUUUCUUGAAAAAAGGGGUCAACAAAAAGCUGAUUUGCUAUGCACUGUACAAACCCAAAUGGCACCUUUCAUCAGGCUAGUCCAUAAUACAAUAAAAACUAAGAAAAGCCGAAACUGACCAGGAACUCAGAGAAGCAAGGAAAAUUAUAGAAGGGAAAAAAGGGCACAACUAUGAGAGGUAAAAAGGAAGAACUAAUUCGAAAAAAAGUGAAAGGAAAUAAGUAACGAGAGCACUAGACAUAAAUGUUUUCAAAACAUAUUGAAAUACUAGAAUUUAUUAUCAAAUAAAAAAGAAGAACAAGAAGACAAUGUGCAUAUUUAUGGAUCUCAACUUCUUAUCAACUAGUCUAGGAGUCUUAGAGAUGUUCAUUCUUAAUAAAGACACAAAGACUCAACCACAAAACAAUCCUAAUACUCUAGCUGAUCCAUACUUUAAAUAUUUCAAAUUUCCCCAAAAAAUAUGCAAAAGUAUAUCUGCAAAAGUUAAAUGUUUGUACAUAAAAUUUUCCAAAAACUAGAAAAUUGAAUGACAAAUUAGAACUAAUUUAUCCUAAAUUACUACCAGGAAAACCUAUAAGAUCAUGUAAAACCUGUCAUCAGUGAAAAUGAGACGAAAAUUACACAACAAAAGCCCUGAGUUGCCAGACUUCAUAUUUCGCAGAAAUUAGCAAGGAAUACUAUGUUCUGUGGCUAUAUCACCCAGUCACCACCAGGUCUAACCAACAUUCUGGUGGUAAAUAGGUGGGAUGGGAAGAGUCGAGAAGGGUAUUAUAAGCAUAUAUCUUAUAAUAUUGACUAUUAGCUUUGUCAAAUAGUAAUUAAGGAGCUAGCAUAUAUCUUGAUUGCAACAUUACUGAUGGGGAAUAUCUUCCAACACAGACUGCCAGCACAUAGAAUAAUUAAUGUUGAUCAAGCAUGCUCAAUCUAAUGACAACUUCAUCAUUCAUAUGCAUGAGGAAUUGAGAAUGUUUGACUGAUCUUACCUGAAGCCCAGCCCCAGCAAGAA